rnacentral:rRNA from 1 species
CCUACGGAGGGCUGCAGUAGGGAAUCUUCCACAAUGGGCGAAAGCCUGAUGGAGCAACGCCGCGUGGGUGAAGAAGGUCUUCGGAUCGUAAAACCCUGUUGUUAGAGAAGAAAGUUCGUGAGAGUAACUGUUCACGUUUCGACGGUAUCUAUCCAGAAAGCCACGGCUAACUACGUGCCAGCAGCCGCGGUAAUACGUAGGUGGCAAGCGUUAUCCGGAUGGAUUGGGCGUAAAGGGAACGCAGGCGGUCUUUUAAGGCUGCUGUGAAAGCCUUCGGCUUAACCGGAGUAGUGCAUUGGAAACUGGGAGACUUGAGUGCAGAAGAGGAGAGUGGAAUUCCAGGUGUAGCGGUGAAAUGCGUAGAUAUA